rnacentral:misc_RNA from 1 species
UUUUGUUAUAUUUUUUCAAAUACACACACACACAACAGUUCCCUUGCUCAACUCUCAUUUGGAUAUCAUCCGAUGCUUACUCAUAACAUUCCUCACUCCUUGAAGUCAUUAUUGUCCUCAAGGAUGAAGAAAAUGCUGGACAUUGAAAUAAAUUUGAGGUGCCACCUUCUCAUAAACUGAAAAGAAUGUGAGAAUCCCACAGCAUCUUUUGCUUGCCAGUUAAUACCUUGAAUUUUCAGCUAUCAGCUCAGCUCAACUGCAUCUUCUUAUUCUGCUCGCUUCACUAUACAAUUACAGCCAUUAUAGCACUGAGAGGAAAGACCGAAAAUCUUGAAUUGGUAGAUGAAAACAUGCCCAUAUAUGAGUAAUUUCCU